AGAGGUUCUACAGGGUCGUACUGAGAACACAUGAAGAUUGCUGAGAGGUUUCAGAUUCCUCUCAGCUCAUGUGUUCUCAGGUCGCCCCUGCUGGACUUUC